AGUGAACGCUGGCGGUAGGCCUAACACAUGCAAGUCGAACGGCAGCACAGUAAGAGCUUGCUCUUACGGGUGGCGAGUGGCGGACGGGUGAGGAAUACAUCGGAAUCUACUUUUUCGUGGGGGAUAACGUAGGGAAACUUACGCUAAUACCGCAUACGACCUACGGGUGAAAGCAGGGGAUCUUCGGACCUUGCGCGAUUGAAUGAGCCGAUGUCGGAUUAGCUAGUUGGCGGGGUAAAGGCCCACCAAGGCGACGAUCCGUAGCUGGUCUGAGAGGAUGAUCAGCCACACUGGAACUGAGACACGGUCCAGACUCCUACGGGAGGCAGCAGUGGGGAAUAUUGGACAAUGGGCGCAAGCCUGAUCCAGCCAUACCGCGUGGGUGAAGAAGGCCUUCGGAUUGUAAAGCCCUUUUGUUGGGAAAGAAAAGCAGCAUGUUAAUACCCCGCUGUUCUGACGGUACCCAAAGAAUAAGCACCGGCUAACUUCGUG
rnacentral:rRNA from 1 species